UAAUCCGAUACAGACUCAAGCUAUGCUUGGGGGGAAAUUUUUUAAUUUAGAAAAGAUAAUAAUCAACCAGCCCCAAAGGCCAAAGUCAUAAUUUUGAUAUAUAAUUUUACGAGUGGUGUCAGUAGAAAGAAAUUAUUUAAGCAAAGCUGAACAUGACAAUUAUCCAACAAGUGGACUAGGUGAAAAAAUGUGGGUUGCGAAGGACAUUGAAGAUCUUAACCGAACUAUAUGACUGAGAGAAGCAGCGGAAGUUACGAAGCGAAGAGAACCCGUGAAGACUAUGAUGGGGCUGGAAGCUCUAAUGACAAACCUCACCCAAAAAGGAUUGCAAGACUCCCAGAAAUUAUGGCCCACGGUAACUCUGACUUUGAGGAGUCAAGUGAGUACAAAGACUGUAGUGAAGACUGAAGAGCUAAGCGAAAGUGACCUUGAAGGUUAAUCAACUUUUUUCCCUGUGGCAAAGUUGGCCAAUAGAGAGGUUGUGGUGAAGGACAUUCAACAGCUUACAAAUGUUUGGGUUUGAUAGGUGGACAUAUGUCCUGGCGGAGCCUUGAUCCCUGGUAACCAUUGCCCCUAAGUUCUUUAUGAACAAUAGCUUGGAUAACAGGCGGCAAACUCUGAAUCUUGUACUCUUUUCUUCUUGUGCUGCUUUGGUUUCAAUGUACAAAAAAAGAAUGGCAAGACAAAGCUUUUUGUUGGUGUUUUAAACAGAAGUAGAAAUCAUGUGCUGGAAAGCAAGUAAACAUCGACACUGGAAGCUCUCACUGCCAAAGGAUUGUUCAGUUUAAUUAUAUCGGUUUACUGAUAAGCUGAUAUGGCGUCAUACAACUCCUAAACAUGGUAUGCACAAGCCUAUCAUGCAGAUUUGGAUCAGAGUAACUGUGGGAGAGUACCGAGGUGAGUGUGCCCGAUUAUGGAGGGAUAGCUGGUCUUGCUGACAGUUAAGCGACACUGGCAGAGACGGUGCAGAUGGAGUGGUUUUGCCUAUAUAAUGUGCUGGCAGGAAAAUUUUGAAGGCGUUGUGGUUCUGCCAUAUGCAGCUGAGUGGCAGCUAGAUGCCUAGCUGUUUAGCUUUGCAUCAUUCAUCUCUUAUGAGUAAUGUUAAAGAAAUUUCCAAUAGAAAGACUUGGCUCAGAUAGGAUGUUGAUUGUUGAUCAUAAAGUGUUUCAAUUCAAAAGAAUCUAGAAGAAAACUUCUGCAAGCAUAUUUUCUUGUUAACCACAGAAGGG